rnacentral:lncRNA from 12 species
GGGGGGGGGCCAUAAAAUGAAUUUUUUACCCCUUUAAAGGCUUUGAGGUGAUUUACCCUGAGCCGAAGUCGUGUCUCCCUUAGGAUUUUGCAGAAAGUUCACGGAUAAUGUGGGAAAUGAAAAAUUUUCCUGGAAAACACAACUUGGGCUGAGGUGUCGAGUGAGAACAGCAGUGCUGAUCCCAGACUCUCAUUCCCUGAGGUAUUUCCACUUUGGAAAUAAUUCCCCUUUCCAUUUGUCACGUUUUUCAGCAUCACACAGCUCAGGAAUUCUGGGGGAUUUUCCCUGGUUUUUUUCCCCAUCCUUUCCUCCAGGAGUUGCUUUCAGGAAUUUGCUGAGAUAGGAAAUAGCUCAGGAAUUUUUGCUUUUUUAGUGGAUUGAAAUCUGCCACGGAAGGAACAUUUUGGAGGAGCCCUUGGAAGGGGUUUUCCCUGGCAGCGUUUUCCAUCCUCGGGACAGCUGUUGGAUCUGACCCAGUGUAAAUCAGGGAUCCAGUUUGCUGACCAGAAGCAGGAGUUCAACAAGCGGCCCAGCAAGAUCGGCCGGCGGUCGCUGUCGCGCUCCAUCUCGCAGUCCUCGACAGACAGCUACAGCUCAGCUGCAUCCUACACGGACAGCUCUGAUGAUGAGACCUCUCCCCGGGACAAGCAGCAGAAGAACUCCAAGGGCAGCAGCGAUUUCUGCGUCAAGAACAUCAAACAGGCCGAGUUCGGGCGGCGCGAGAUCGAGAUCGCCGAGCAGGGUGAGGGACCCCAAAUCCUCACCCCAAAUCCUCACCCCAAAUCCCCUUGGGGGGGGGGCAGGGGGAUG